UACGUAGGGACCAAGCGUUGUUCGGAUUUACUGGGCGUAAAGGGCGCGUAGGCGGCGUGACAAGUCACUUGUGAAAUCUCCGGGCUUAACUCGGAACGGCCAAGUGAAACUGUCAUGCUAGAGUGCAGAAGGGGCAAUCGGAAUUCCUGGUGUAGCGGUGAAAUGCGCAGAUAUCAGGAGGAACACCAAUGGCGAAGGCAGCUCGCUGGGACGGUACUGACGCUGAGACGCGAAAGCGUGGGGAGCAAACAGG
rnacentral:rRNA from 1 species